GGGCCCGUAGUCUAGGGGGAAGACGCCGGGUUCGGGUCCCGGAGAUCGCGGGUUCGAAUCCCGCCGGGCCCA
rnacentral:tRNA from 1 species